rnacentral:rRNA from 1 species
GACUUACUCGGGAUCUGGAUCAUUUACUUUGAAAAAAUUAGAGUGUUUAAAGCAGGCUAUUGCUAUGAAUACAUUAGCAUGGAAUAAUAAUCUAGGACUUCGGUUCUAGUUUGUUGGUUCUUUAACUGAAGUAAUGAUUGAUAGGGAUAGUUGGUGGUGCUAGUAUUGGCCGGUCAGAGGUGAAAUUCUUGGAUUCGGUCAAGACUUCCUUAUGCACCAAGGAUGUCUUCUUCUGUCUCUUAUACACAUCUC